rnacentral:lncRNA from 1 species
CAAAGGGAUGGAGGAGAUCUAAUUAUCUGUUCUACAACUUCUCUAUUGGUUUCUUUUCUUUUUUUGCCUGUUCUCUCUCUAGCUCCAUUCAGUUUGACUUUUCAUGUCCCAUUAUUGACAAUUUAUGAGUCAUGGAUCCCACAUGUCUUGUUCAUGAGAGUGGGAGUCUUGGCACAUGACAAAACCAUGUCUCAUUCAUU